rnacentral:tmRNA from 1 species
GGGGGCGUACUGGUUUCGACUGGUGGUUUGAAGGAUUGGCUGCAUGCCGAGGUUGAUCAGUUGGCCUCGUAAAAAGCUGAUCAAAACAAUAAAUGCAAAUAACGAACCCGAACUUGCGCUGGCUGCCUAAUUAGGCACCCCGUGGCUCCCUCGACGCCUGCUGAGGGGAGCCGCGACAUUUUAGCAGGCUGGUCGUCCGCCGGGUGUCCGGGCGGAACGACGAGAGGUUACAGUGACAAUCGAGAUUCAAGGAUUCUGUUCAUCGAAGCCCUGGUCUCUAAAUCAAAAGAUGAAACUAAGCAUGUAGGCGCUGAUUUAGACGGCCAUUAGGACAGGGGUUCGACUCCCCUCGCCUCCACCA